rnacentral:rRNA from 1 species
GGCCCACUAAGUCAGAUGUGAAAUCCCUCGGCUCAACUGAGGAACUGCAUCGGAGACUGGAGGGCUUGAGUGCAGGAGAGGAACGCGGAAUUCCAGGUGUAGCGGUGAAAUGCGUAGAUAUCUGGAGGAACACCGGUGGCGAAGGCGGCGUUCUGGACUGCAACUGACACUGAGGAACGAAAGCCAGGGGAGCAAACG